GGCGAAAGGGCGAGGAAUGCAUGGGUAACGUACCCUAAGCACGGGGACAGCCGCGGGAAACUGCGGUUAAUACCCGAUUAGACCACAGUGUCACAUGGCACAGCGGUCAAAGGGCGGGGUUCCUUCGGGAACCUGUUGGCUUGGGAGCGGCCCAUGUCCUAUCAGCUUGUUGGUGAGGUAACGGCUCACCAAGGCUUCGACGGGUAGCGGGACUGAGAGGUUGACCCGCCGCAUUGGGACUGAGACACUGCCCAGACUCCUACGGGAGGCUGCAGUAACGAAUAUUGGGCAAUGGGCGAAAGCCUGACCCAGCGAUGCCGCGUGUGGGAAGAAGCCCUUCGGGGUGUAAACCACUGUCAGGGAUUACCAAGCAAUGGAGGCUAAUACCUUCCAGCGUUGAGGAGUCC
rnacentral:rRNA from 1 species